AAUGCAAAUCCACUGGAUCUCUUCUCACAGGUAGCUAUUGUUCUACCUCUUAACUUUUGAAUUCUUCCCUCAGAUAGAUGCUCCUUUGAAGUUUGAAUUGUAUUUUAUGAUCAGCUAAUUAAUAAAAUAUAUUACUAUUCUUGAAUCAAGGCCUACCAAAUGUGGGUGCAAAUGCUGGUGCUGGCAAUUUGGAUUUUCUUCGAAACAGUCAACAGGUACUUAAUUUUUUUUCCUUUCUUUUUUGCUCUGAUCCAUAUGGAGCUUUACUCUUUUUUAUUGUUGUAGUCAUGGUUGAAUUUUUUUUCUCUAACUUUCAUUGUUGUUCCAAGCAUUGUGAGCUAUGGUGCAAGCAAACCCUCAAAUUCAGCAGCCUAUGCUUCAAGAGCUAGGGAAACAAAAUCCACAUCUUGUGCAUCUCAUACAAGAGCCUCAGGCUGACUUUUUGUGCCUGAUAAAUGAACUUGUCGAGGGAGGAGAAGGGUGAGAUGAAUGCAGUUUUUUUUUAUUAUUUAUUAGUUUUUGUUAUCUACUUGACACAUGCUAAUUUUUCAUUUUUAUUAUACAAUCAGGAACGUUCUGAGCCUGAUGGCUUCAGCCAUGCCACAGGCUAUGACUGUAACUCCUGAGGAGCGGGCAGCCAUUGAACGUGUAUGUUUCUAAUCUUUAUUUAACCUCUGUGUAGUCCCUCUCUUGUUUGUGCUUUUAUCCAAGAGCCAAGAUGGCUACUCAAGAACAUUUAUUGCAUUUUUUUUAUUCUUAAACAUAUAAUUUAGACGGUUGAAACCUUUACUACACUGUUUUAUAGUUAAU